rnacentral:rRNA from 1 species
UACGUAGGGGGCAAGCGUUGUCCGGAUUUAUUGGGCGUAAAGAGCGUGUAGGCGGCUAGAUAGGUCCGUUGUGAAAACUCGAGGCUCAACCUCGAGACGUCGAUGGAAACCAUCUGGCUAGAGUCCGGAAGAGGAGAGUGGAAUUCCUGGUGUAGCGGUGAAAUGCGCAGAUAUCAGGAAGAACACCCGUGGCGAAGGCGGGUCUCUGGGCCGAAACUGACGCUGAGGAGCGAAAGCGUGGGGAGCGAACAGG